GCCUGGGUGGCUCAGUCGGUUGAGCGUCUGACUUCGGCUCAGGUCAUGAUCUUAGUCUGUGGGUUCGAGCUCCACAUCAGGCU
rfam:Felis catus isolate Cinnamon breed Abyssinian chromosome E1, whole genome shotgun sequence.